AGGUGGGGGAGGUCCCCCCGGGUGAGAGCUGUGCCCUGUCCUCCGCCUGUUUAAGCCCAGUCCUGGGACCCUGGCAGUGCCGUGGACCGUGCAGGGCACCUCUGCUGCAGACCCGUCAGGCCGUCUUUGGAGAACUGCUCUCCUGGGUGG